rnacentral:rRNA from 1 species
AGGAGAGUUUGAUCCUGGCUCAGAACGAACGCUGGCGGCGCGUCUUAAGCAUGCAAGUCGAGCGGUAAGGAGGUAGCUUGCUACUUCCCUAGAGCGGCGGACUGGUGAGUAACGCGUGGGUGACGUACCCUUUGGUUGGGGAUAGCCGGUAGAAAUACCGGGUAAUACCGAAUAAGACCUCUGGUAGAAAGAUUAGAGAGGAAAGCGGCUUCGGCCGCGCCGAAGGAACGGCCCGCGUACUAUUAGCUAGUUGGUGAGGUAACGGCCCACCAAGGCGACGAUAGUUAUCCGGCCUAAGAGGGUGAACGGACACAUUGGGACUGAGAUACGGCCCAGACUCCUACGGGAGGCAGCAGCUAAGAAUAUUCCGCAAUGGAGGAAACUCUGACGGAGCGACGCCGCGUGGAUGAUGAAGGCCGGAAGGUUGUAAAAUCCUUUUGAGUGUGAUGAAUAAAGCUUACAGGAAAUGGUAAGAAGAUGACCGUAACACUUGAAUAAGGGGCGGCUAAUUACGUGCCAGCAGCCGCGGUAACACGUAAGCCCCGAGCGUUGUUCGGAAUUAUUGGGCGUAAAGGGCAUGUAGGCGGUUGUGCAAGCUUGGUGUGAAAUGCCGGGGCUUAACUCCGGCACUGCGUUGAGAACUGCACGACUAGAGUAACUGAGGGGCAGCCGGAAUUCCAGGUGUAGGGGUGAAAUCUGUAGAUAUCUGGAAGAACACCAAUGGCGAAGGCAGGCUACCAGCAGAUUACUGACGCUGAGGUGCGAAGGUGCGGGGAGCAAACAGGAUUAGAUACCCUGGUAGUCCCCU